CCUACGGGAGGCAGCAGUCGAGAAUCAUUCACAAUGGGGGAAACCCUGAUGGUGCGACGCCGCGUGGGGGAAUGAAGGUCUUCGGAUUGUAAACCCCUGUCAUGUGGGCGCAAAUUAAAAAGAUAGUACCACAAGAGGAAGAGACGGCCAACUCUGUGCCAGCAGCCGCGGUAAUACAGAGGUCUCAAGCGUUGUUCGGAAUCACUGGGCGUAAAGCGUGCGUAGGCUGUUUCGUAAGUCGUGUGUGAAAGGCGCGGGCUCAACCCGCGGACGGCACAUGAUACUGCGAGACUAGAGUAAUGGAGGGGGAACCGGAAUUCUCGGUGUAGCAGUGAAAUGCGGAGAUAUCGAGAGGAACACUCGUGGCGAAGGCGGGUUCCUGGACAUUAACUGACGCUGAGGCACGAAGGCCAGGGGAGCGAAAGGGAUUAGAUACCCGGGUAGUC
rnacentral:rRNA from 1 species